rnacentral:rRNA from 1 species
UGAGUAACCUGCCCUUAACUCUGGGAUAAGCCUGGGAAACUGGGUCUAAUACCGGAUAUGACUCCUCAUCGCAUGGUGGGGGGUGGAAAGCUUUAUUGUGGUUUUGGAUGGACUCGCGGCCUAUCAGCUUGUUGGUGUGGGUAAUGGCCCACCAAGGCGACGACGGGUAGCCGGCCUGAGAGGGUGACCGGCCACACUGGGACUGAGACACGGCCCAGACUCCUACGGGAGGCAG